UUUGAACUGGUUGCUCCAAAUUUCAAGUAAAGCUCCAAAGCAUUUGCUAAUCGAUAUGGCAUUUCGGUUGAGAAAAUUGUUACUGACAAAUGGCUGCUCAUCCUACAACAUUUCAACCGUCAUGGCUAACAACAAAAACAAGUAUUCUACUGUAUUCACCCCACUUAGACCUAUAUCAAACACUUGCAUGAACAACUUUCUUUCCACCGAUCAAAGCACCUUCAAGCCUCAGGUCGACUCUCUUAAGUCCGGUGAGUCCACUGCCACUCUAGUUCUCCAGCAUGACUGUUGCUUAGAUGAUGAUGCUGUGGUUGAUCAAGACUUUCAGAAGUGGCAUAAUGGUGGUGGGACUUUUCACAAAUCAGCAUAUAUUCAUCGAACAGCGGUCAUAGAAUUUGGUGCAGUAGUUCAUUCACAGUCUCUUUUGGGUGAAAAUGUUUCUAUUGGGUCUGGGGCUGUCGUUGGACCUGAUGUCACAAUUGGUCAAUCUACUAGAGUAGGAUACAAUGUUGCUCUUACAAAUUGCACAAUUGGUGAUUCCUGUGUUAUCCACAAUGGUGUCUGCAUUGGCCAAGAUGGAUUUGGAUUUUUGGUGGAUGAACAGGGUAAUAUGUUGAAGAAGCCACAGCAUUUGAAAGUGAAGAUAGGUAACCACGUGGAAAUUGGAGCAAACACAUGUAUUGAUCGAGGCAGUUGGAGAGAUACUAUUGUAGGAGAUCACACAAAAAUAGAUAAUUUGGUUCAGAUUGGUCACAAUGUACAAAUCGGGAAGAACUGCAUGAUUUGUGGGCAAGUUGGAAUUGCAGGUUCAGUAACGAUGGGUGACUACGUGACACUGGGUGGAAGGGUUGCAAUCCGUGAUCAUGUCUGCAUUGCAUCAAGGGUCAGAUUAGCUGCUAGUAGCUGUGUCACAAAAGACAUUAAUCAGCCAGGGGAUUAUGGUGGCUUCCCUGCUAUUUUCCAUGGGCUUUUGCUGCAGAUGCCAAUUGGGAAAUGGCGAAGACAAGUUGCUGCUCAACGUCAGACAUUCAAGUAGGAAACCUGCGUGCGUCUUAGGGAAUCACUGCUACUGUUGAGAUCUUGAUGGCUAACCUUGUGCGACUGCCAUGAUUAUCCUUGGUUCUCGAUGACAUGGAUACAAAACUGCUGAAAUAGCUAGUGGCUUGAAGAAACUUUUGUCUGUGCAUCAUUUUAUGUUAUGAAACAGGCCAUUAUGCAUCUUGGUCUUGCUUGGAAUCUUGCCGUCUGAUCCAAUCGGUAACUGGGCUUUCAGGUGCACUCCGUAACGCCUGCUCUUAAUUCCCCAGGUUCGAUAUCGAAUCUUGGAAGCUAAAGCAGCCUGCAAUUGAGCUUUUCGAUUUGAUAUUUGGUCGUGCAAUGCUUCCCACACCUUUGCAUCCACAUAGACAACUCCUAUUUUUGGUGUUGUUUCCCCUUUAUCUUGGGAGAAACGCGGUAUGGUUGUGGAAGCUAUGGAGUCCUGAUUGUUGUAAAAAGUCAAGAUGCAGUCGUCAAAGUAGGUGUCUGAAUCCUUGUUGGGAUUUUCAAUCUCUAAGGCAUACUCUAUGUUGCCGUUCUCAACUGAGAACUUAGUAAUGGUGUAGUCGGGGCUUUUCGGGCGGAUGCUUAGCCACAUGACGAAGGCUAGCAAUCCCAGAAGGAUAAUGAUUUGGGAAAUCCAGAGUUUGAAGCUCGUGACUUCCACCAUCUUAUCUUUGUUUUUUGACUUCCACUGUAGAUUGAGGGAUUUGGAGGCGGUGGGUGACGAGAAAACAAGUUAUAGCACAAGGCCAAGUAGUUAAGCAUCUGGAACCGUUGUGAAGAGAUGGGGUUGGUUUAGUUGAUGUUGUGAAGGCAUGCCUGCCAAGGCCGAAGCGAUGCUUUUCUUUCACUUUUAGUGAUGCGCCAAGCCUUGAGUGCUUAGAUAAAAGGAAUCUGAGACGUGACUCGCUCAAGGAAGCCAUUCCAAAAUCCAAAUGCAGUUUGGUCAUCUUCCCAAGCCCCACCCCAUCGAGACCAGGAAUAAGAGAAGGCUCCUUCUUUUUCUUUUUCUUUUUUUCCCUUUUAUUUUUGUUUUUGUUUUCACUUUUCCUCCCAUUUCUUCAUCGAAAGCAGAAAUAUAUACAUAUAUAUAUAUCCUACACACUCCCUCUGUUCUAAUCAGAAUCUAUUUAGAAGCCACCUAAAUAUCUGAAUAUUCUACUGCA